CCGAUGCCUGUGAUGGUGUUAAAUAUACUUUGCAGAUUAAUUUCUAUGAAAAAAAAUCAAAUCUGAGGCAACCG